GUCAUCGCGAGGUGGGGUCUGAAGGAAGCCGGAGGCAAAACACUGGCCUGUAAAAGUUGUACCCACAGGGCAUGAUACCCGGAUAGGCUGUGAAGCGUGGAUGAGGUUACCAAACAAACUAAAGUCCAAUAACUGCACGGAACGCCAGCAGUAGACGGGGCAGGUAUAAGUGGGAAAGAGCGUGUG
rfam:Clostridium sp. M62/1 C_sp_M621-1.0.1_Cont0.3, whole genome shotgun sequence.